rnacentral:rRNA from 1 species
GGAAUUUUGGACAAUGGGCGCAAGCCUGAUCCAGCAAUGCCGCGUGAGUGAAGAAGGCCUUCGGGUUGUAAAGCUCUUUUGUCAGGGAAGAAACGGUGGGAGCUAAUAUCUCCUGCUAAUGACGGUACCUGAAGAAUAAGCACCGGCUAACUACGUGCCAGCAGCCGCGGUAAUACGUAGGGUGCAAGCGUUAAUCGGAAUUACUGGGCGUAAAGCGUGCGCAGGCGGUUUUGUAAGUCUGUCGUGAAAGCCCCGGGCUCAACCUGGGAAUUGCGAUGGAGACUGCAAGGCUUGAAUCUGGCAGAGGGGGGUAGAAUUCCACGUGUAGCAGUGAAAUGCGUAGAGAUGUGGAGGAACACCGAUGGCGAAGGCAGCCCCCUGGGUCAAGAUUGACGCUCAUGCACGAAAGCGUGGGGAGCAAACAGGAUUAGAUACCCGGG